rnacentral:rRNA from 1 species
UACAGAGGGGGCAAGCGUUGUUCGGAAUUACUGGGCGUAAAGCGUGCGCAGGCGGUCUUUUAAGUCAGAUGUGAAAUCCCCGGGCUUAACCUGGGAACUGCGUUUGAAACUGGAAGGCUAGAGUGUGGCAGAGGGGGGUGGAAUUCCACGUGUAGCAGUAAAAUGCGUAGAGAUGUGGAGGAACACCGAUGGCGAAGGCAGCCCCCUGGGCUAACACUGACGCUCAUGCACGAAAGCGUGGGGAGCAAACAGG